rnacentral:rRNA from 1 species
UACGGAGGAUGCGAGUGUUAUCCGGAUUUAUUGGGCUUAAAGGGUGCGUAGGCGGACUGUCAAGUCAGCGGUAAAAUUGAGAGGCUCAACCUCUUCCCGCCGUUGAAACUGGUGGUCUUGAGUGGAUGAGAAGUACGCGGAAUGCGUGGUGUAGCGGUGAAAUGCAUAGAUAUCACGCAGAACUCCGAUUGCGAAGGCAGCGUACCGGCAUCCAACUGACGCUGAGGCACGAAAGCGUGGGGAUCAAACAGG